UUUUAUAAAAUGGUAAUGUUACAUUAUGGAGAUAAGCCGCUUUUUUUUAGUGAAAAAUGAAAAUCUUACAUAUGUUUAAUGUAGUUUUUCUAUUUUUUUAUGUUGUAUGUUUACAUAUUAUUGUUAUUUUUAAAUGUAAAAUGGUAAUAUUACAUAUUUUUAAUGUAGUAUUUUCAUUUUUUUAUGUUGUAUGUUUAUAUAUUAUUUAUUCUUUUCGAAAUUAUAUAUAAUGUUUUUUUUUACAAAAUAUUAAUUUUACAUUAUGGAGAUAAACCGUCUCUUUUUAGUUAAAAAUGGUAAUCUUACAUAUGUUUAAUGUAGUUUUUCUAUUUUUUUAUGUUGUAUGCUUACAUAUUAUUAUUUUUUAAAUUAAAAAUGUAAAAUGGUAAUCUUACAUAUGUUUAAUGUAGUAUUUCCAUUUUUUAUGUUGUAUGUUUACAUAUAUUUAUUAGAGUAUUUGUACUCUCUACACAUAACUUACCCCCUAUUUGCACUCCAUACCCUAUUUCCCUUCAAUUUUUUCCCCCCAUCACUACCAUUUUCCCCCAACUCAAUGGUAUCUCACUCUUUUGAGUAUAUUGAGCUAAUUUGCUCUAUUUAUUAUUUUCAAAAUUAUAUAUAAUGUUUUUUUUUUUUAUAAAAUGGUAAUGUUACAUUAUGGAGAUAAGCCGUCUUUUUUUCAAGUGAAAAAUGGUAAUCUUACAUAUGUUUAAUGUAGUUUUUCUAUUUUUUAUGAUGUAUGUUUACAUAUUAUUUAUAAUUUGCAAAAUUAGUAAUAUUAAAGUGUAAAACUAUAUUUUAUGCCACGUGUCAUCUUUUGAGAGAAGUUUUUUUUGCUGAUGUGGACGCUCUAUGGAGCCUCAAAAGGUUCCUUUUAUUAGUAAGGAUUUUUAUGUUGUAUGUUUACAUAUUAUUUUUUUUUAAAUUAAAAAUGUAAAAUGGUAAUCUUACAUAUGUUUAAUGUAGUAUUUCCAUUUUUUAUGUUGUAUGUUUACAUAUAUUUAUUAUUUUCGAAAUUAUAUAUAAUGUUUUUUUUUUAUAAAAUGGUAAUGUUACAUUAUCGAGAUAAGCCAUCUUUUUUCAAGUGAAAAAUGGUAAUCUUACUUAUGUUUAAUAUAGUUUUUCUAUUUUUUAUGAUGUAUGUUUACAUAUUAUUUAUAAUUUGCGAAAAUUAGUAAUAUUAAAGUGUAAAAUUAUAUUUUAUGCCACGUGUCAUCUUUUGAGAGAAGUUUUUUUUUGCUGAUGUGGACGCUCUAUGGAGCCUCAAAAGGUUCCUUUUAUUUGUAAGGAUUAUGGAGAUAAGCCGUCUUUUUUUCAAGUGAAAAAUGGUAAUCUUACAUAUGUUUAACGUAGUUUUUCUAUUUUUAUGCUGUAUGUUUACAUAUUUUUUAUAAUUUGCGAAAAUUAGUAAUAUUAAAGUAUAAAACUAUAUUUUAUGCCACAUGUCAUCUUUCGGGAGAAGUUUUUUUUGCUGAUGUGGACGCUCUAUGGAGCCUCAAAAGGUCCAUUUUAUUAGUAAGGAUUUAUUUAUUAUUUAUUUUCUAUAUAUUGAGUAUUUUCUCUUUCUUAUACUUUAUAUUUAGUUAAUAUCUAUAUUUUAUAUUUUAAGAUAGAUGUUUAAAUCUUAAUGUAUUUUUACAUUUUUAAUGUAAAACGGCAAUGUUUAAUAGAAGAACUUGGACAAAUAGUCAAAUAGUUAUAUUUAUGUUUUUUUUCUUUUUUUAUAAAAUGGUAAUGUUACAUUAUGGAGAUAACCCGUUUUUUUAGUGAAAAAUGGAAAUCUUACAUAUGUUUAAUGUAGUUUUUCCAUUUUUUUUUAUGUUGUAUGUUUACAUAUUAUUGUUAUUUUUAAAUGUAAAAUGGUAAUAUUACAUAUGUUUAAUGUAGUAGUUCCAUUUUUUUAUGUUUUAUGUUUAUAUAUUAUUUAUUAUUUUCAAAAUUAUAUAUAGUGUUUUUUUUACAAAAUAGUAAUUUUACAUUAUGGAGAUAAACCGUCUUUUUUUAGUGAAAAAUGGUAAUCUUACAUAUGUUUAAUGUAGUUUUUCUAUUUUUUAUGUUGUAUGUUUACAUAUUUUUUUUUUAAAUUAAAAAUGUAAAAUGGUAAUCUUACAUAUGUUUAAUGUAGUAUUUCCAUUUUUUAUGUUGUAUGUUUACAUAUAUUUAUUAUUUUCGAAAUUAUAUAUAAUGUUUUUUGUUUUUUUUUUUUAUAAAAUGGUAAUGUUACAUUAUGGAGAUAAGCCGUCUUUUUUUCAAGUGAAAAAUGGUAAUAUUACAUAUGUUUAAUGUAGUUUUUCUAUUUUUAUGAUGUAUGUUUACAUAUUAUUUAUAAUUUACGAAAAUUAGUAAUAUUAAAGUAUAAAACUAUCUUUUAUGCUACGUGUCAUCUUUUGGGAGAAGUUUUUUUUGCUGAUGUGGACGUUCUAUGGAGCCUCAAAAGGUCUCUUUUAUUAGUAAGGAUUUUGGGAGAAGUUUUUUUUGCUGAUGUGGACGUUCUAUGGAGCCUCAAAAGGUCUCUUUUAUUAGUAAGGAUUAUGGAGAUAAACCGUCUUUUUUUAGUGAAAAAUGGUAAUCUUACAUAUGUUUAAUGUAGUUUUUCUAUUUUUUAUGUUGUAUGUUUACAUAUUAUUUUUUUAAAAAUUAAAAAUGUAAAAUGGUAAUCUUACAUAUGUUUAAUGUAGUAUUUCCAUUUUUUAUGUUGUAUGUUUACAUAUAUUUAUUAUUUUCGAAAUUAUAUAUAAUGUUUUUUGUUUUUUUUAUAAAAUGGUAAUGUUACAUUAUGGAGAUAAGCCGUCUUUUUUCAAGUGAAAAAUGGUAAUCUUACAUAUGUUUAAUGUAGUUUUUCUAUUUUUAUGCUGUAUGUUUACAUAUUAUUUAUAAUUUACGAAAAUUAGUAAUAUUAAAGUAUAAAACUAUCUUUUAUGCUACGUGUCAUCUUUUGGGAGAAGUAUAUAAUUAACCCGGGCUACGCCCGGGAUUUUUAUUUUUUUCUAAUUUAAGUUGUUAAAUUAUUUAUAUUUAGGUUAUGAUAUAUAAUUUUUAUAAAUAUUAAGAUGCAUGUCAUAAUUAAAAUUUAUUUUAAAUUUUAACACGUUCAAUUAACAUAUUUUUACUAUUUAAAUAUUUAUUUGUAAUUUUGUUGGCUAUCUAAUUAUCAUAUUUAGCAAAAUUAUCUGUUGAGUGUUGGAAUAAAUGUUUUAGAUAUUUAAUUAAACUGCAGAGUAUUUUCGGAUCGAUCACAUGCUCAACAAUCGAUCGAUCCGUAAAAAGAUGGUCGAUCUCCUUGGCCAGGUAAGUACAAUUUUAG
rnacentral:lncRNA from 1 species